rnacentral:lncRNA from 1 species
CUACUUAGGCCGUAUGUCUUCCUUCAUGUUCUUGGGGAUCUUUGCAGCAUCCCCAGAGAGCAGGCUGGGCUAGGGUCUGAAGGGACCAGGUCUCCCUCCAGUAAGUGCCUCCUGGCCUCCCAGAAAGGGCAAGACAGAAGGCUCUUAAGGAAUCCCCAACUCCUGUCCCCAGGGUGUCUUCAUUUCUCGGGUGUCUGAGGAGGGCCCUGCGGCCCGGGCUGGAGUCCGAGUGGGCGACAAACUCCUUGAGGUGAGUAGUGACUGCUGGCCAGUGACACCUGUGCUCUGGGGUGCCAUCUGGGCUGUUGGGGUAUUUAGUUGUGCCUAUCGGAUGGGGGCACUGUCUACCCUCUCCAGAAGCCCUGAGCCCCAGACCCCAGGACUCCCCCAAACCCUCUUUGGGCAGGAUGUGUAGUGCAGGCACCUAAAACCCCAGAAUCGGGAGGGCUGGGAAAGGGGUCAGACCCCAGCAGGUUGUGGGGCUCAGAUCCUUGUGAGAGACUUGGCACCCCCACCAGGGCACCUGGCUGUUGGAUAUAGGCUGUGCCCUUCCUGUGGGGACAAGGGUGAGGGCCCUGAGGGUAUCAGAAGAGGCUGGUGCUCCUCCUGCUCUCCUGCUCAGCUCUCUUCCCAGCCUCUCUUGGGGGCUCCUGUCCAAGGUGGCGUGUGAGUGUGGGGUCGGUGACCUGGUAAUCCUGGGCAUUCUCUGGGGCUGCUCAGACAGACCCAGAUGGUAGGUUUCCAGAAGCAAGGUGAGUGGUGUGGACUGUUCCAGGGGCAGAUGCCUGUGCUCUGGGAACCGCCAUAGGUGGGGACGAAGCCCAUCAGGAGCUCUGGGUACCCCCUCUCCCUGCCCUUCCCAUCCAUGGAGGGAAGCGUGGGCAGAGGCCACACGAGCCGUUGUCAUGGCGUCAGUGCUCAGGUGUCGGGGUGGCCGCAGCUGGGUGCUGACGUGUGCCGGGCCUCCCACACCUACAGGUGAACGGCGUGGCUUUGCAGGACGCUGAGCACCAUGAGGCUGUGGAGGCCCUCCGAGGGGCAGGCACAGCCGUGCAGAUGCGUGUGUGGCGGGAACGCAUGGUAGAACCUGAGAACGCAGUCACCAUCACACCCCUGCGGCCCGAGGACGACUACAGCCCCCGAGAGCGG